rnacentral:rRNA from 1 species
UCCGAAGGUGGAUAAUUAAGUCAGAGGUGAAAUCCUGCAGCUCAACUGUAGAAUUGCCUUUGAUACUGGUUAUCUUGAGUCAUUAUGAAGUGGUUAGAAUGUGUAGUGUAGCGGUGAAAUGCAUAGAUAUUACACAGAAUACCGAUUGCGAAGGCAGAUCACUAAUAAUGUACUGACACUGAGGGACGAAAGCGUGGGGAGCGAACAGGAUUAGAUACCCUGGUAGUCC